rnacentral:rRNA from 1 species
AGUGAACGCUGGCGGUAGGCCUAACACAUGCAAGUCGAACGGCAGCACAGUAAGAGCUUGCUCUUACGGGUGGCGAGUGGCGGACGGGUGAGGAAUACAUCGGAAUCUACUUUUUCGUGGGGGAUAACGUAGGGAAACUUACGCUAAUACCGCAUACGACCUACGGGUGAAAGCAGGGGAUCUUCGGACCUUGCGCGAUUGAAUGAGCCGAUGUCGGAUUAGCUAGUUAGCGGGGUAAAGGCCCACCAAGGCGACGAUCCGUAGCUGGUCUGAGAGGAUGAUCAGCCACACUGGAACUGAGACACGGUCCAGACUCCUACGGGAGGCAGCAGUGGGGAAUAUUGGAUAAUGGGCGCAAGCCUGAUCCAGCCAUACCGCGUGAGUGAAGAAGGCCUUCGGGUUGUAAAGCCCUUUUGUUGGGAAAGAAAAGCAGCAGGUUAAUACCCCGCUGUUCUGACGGUACCCAAAGAAUAAGCACCGGCUAACUUCGUG